AUGAUUGUAUAUUGGAUAUAAUUGAAGAAAUCUUUCUUAUCAGUCAGUCGGUCAGCCGUGGUUUUUCAGUCAAAAUGUUGCGUGCCGUGAUUUUGUUUUGUGUCGUCCUAGCUGUUAGAGGACAGACUACUGAUGUUUCUCAGUGCACAGCAAACCCUGGUCCUUUGCCCAUCAACGCGUACAUCGCCGGCUGUGGCGCCCCCCCUUGCAACCUGCCGCAGCUGCAGGAUGCUGUCAUCAAUAUCAUCUUCAGAGCACCCAACACCAUAAGGACAAUGAGGACUUUAGCCGUGGCGUACAUUCCCUCACCUUUGGGUAACAUUCCCUUCCCCUACGGGCUUGGAGACAACGCGGAGACUUGCAAUUUCCUUACCAACACCUACUGCCCCGUGGUGCAAGGAGAGGUCAUACAGUACACGCUCAGAAUGUACAUCGAGUCCUUCUUCCCUGUGGACACACAAGUUUCCAUCGAGUUCAGGAUCGUGGAUGAGGCCAAUUCUCCUGUAAUGUGCAUCAGAGUGCCAAUCCGUAUUACUGCGCCUGAGACCUUCGGAGCCAGGAACUCGACUCUCAUCGGAGAGGCCUAAAGAGGAACUGCGAAACUAUCGUAACUACAACUUCUUAUUUCAAAGAUCAAUCAACUAAAUAAAUUAUAAAGGUACUCUUAGGUCCUUCCUGUCUUCAAGAAUUUUGUGCCGAUAACUAUAACUUUGCCACUCUGAAGCCAGCCAUUUAACGCCUCGUGCAUGCGUAGUUUGCUCGUUACAUUUUCAAUGUUGUGAAGCUAACUUCGGAGCGGUUAUUUGACGAGUUCUGCACAUUUUAUAUUUUACUAAGCAAUUCAAUGAAUGGUAGAUGUUUUAGUUACAGUAAGAAAACCGUAACGAAAUGUGAUAUGUAUUUAUAAUUUUUAAAUAAACGUUUUUGUCGAUA
rnacentral:misc_RNA from 1 species